GACAUGUUGCGGUCGGCUCCUCCGCGUUUCACACCCUUCGUGGCAACACGAGUACGGCGACAUAGCCCGACACUUCUGCCUCCAUCCUUCACCCCACAUCUUGAUCUUUUGGGGAGGAGGAGAACUUGCACGAGUGUGUGGGCGGCAGGAGUGAUGGCGAUGAGGGGGAAUGAGGCAUUGCGGGCGCACCUCGGGAUGGCGCUGGUGCAUGCGACCAACGGCGGCUUCCACGUGCUGACCAAGUCCGUGCUCAACGUCGGCAUGAACGAGGUGGCCUUCUGCGUCUACCGCGACUUCGUCGCCAUCUCCAUCCUCGCCCUCCUCCAACGAUGCAGGUUCCAAUGCUGAUCAAGUAUCCUUCCUGCUUGUCUUUGACAACAUACUUGCAUUUUUUUGGGGAUGGUAUUGACUGGAAUAUUUACCACUGGUUGUCAUAGAGAGUGGAUGUUGACACCAUCAGAAAUAAUUGCUGUCUUAUAUGCAGAGGAUUUAUCUUCAUAACCAAUGAUCUGAAUCAAGAUUGCGAACUAUGGCGCCAAGGUUUAUCCAUUGAUGAUCUAUAACUUACUAUGAUCCAUGAGGACUAAAGAGUCGUAGAAGACAACCUAGUGGAAGCAUCAGGUCUCUUCACAGGUGUUGCAUCUUCUUGAAGAGGGAAUGGGUUACGGGAUAAUGACAUGGUCCAAUACAAUCUACUUCAACCAGCAAUGUCUUUUCUUGGGAGUACCAUUUAUCUUGGAAGAUAUAGAAACGGAAACAGAAUCACCCAGGGAUCAGUUAUGGAGAUCAUGAAUCUGCAUCUCUUCUUGAAGAAGAUGCAACACCUGUGAAGAGACAUGAUGCUUCCGGUGGAUAAACCUUGGUGCAAUGGUGUGCAAUCUUGAUUCAGAUCAUUGGUUAUGAAGAUUUGUGCAGAAAUAAGUCAUUCUUUUUUGUAUGAAAGGUUUUCUCACUUGUUUUAUUUUUCCACCAUGCAAAUCAAUGUUGUGGUUUUUUUGGGAAUAUAUGUUAAUUACGAGGAAAUUAUCACAUUAUUAAAAGCAGAUGGAACA